GAUGAACGCUAGCGAUAGGCUUAACACAUGCGAGUCGAGGGGCAGCAUGGUCUUAGCUUGCUAAGGCUGAUGGCGACCGGCGCACGGGUGCGUAACGCGUAUGCAACUUGCCUCACAGAGGGGGAUAACCCGUCGAAAGACGGACUAAUACCGCGUACACUCUAUGUUGGGCAUCCAAUGUAGAGGAAAUGAAAUUCGCUGUGAGAUAGGCAUGCGUCCCAUUAGCUAGUUGGUGAGGUAACGGCUCACCAAGGCGACGAUGGGUAGGGGAACUGAGAGGUUGACCCCCCAAGCUGGUACUGUGGCACGGACCAGACGCCUACGGGAGGCAGCAGUGAGGAAUAUUGGUCAACGGGCGAGAGCCUGAACCAGCCAAGGCGCGUGAAGGAUGACUGUCUUAUGGAUUGUAAACUUCUUUUAAACGGGAAUAACAAGAGUCACGUGUGGCUCCCUGCAUGUACCGUAUGAAUAAGCAUCGGCUAACUCCGUG
rnacentral:rRNA from 1 species